UGCAAGUCGAACGGAAGUCGUUAUAAAAAGGACUGAAGAUUUAUCUGAUUGAGAUUUUAUAACAAUGGCUUUAGUGGCGGACUGGUGAGUAACGCGUGAGCAACCUGCCUACUAGAGGGGAAUAACAGUGAGAAAUCAUUGCUAAUACCGCAUAUGCCAUGAACAUCACAUGAUGAAAAUGGGAAAAGAGUAAUCUGCUAGUAGAUGGGCUCGCGUCUGAUUAGAUAGUUGGUGGGGUAACGGCCUACCAAGUCAACGAUCAGUAGCCGGACUGAGAGGUUGAACGGCCACAUUGGGACUGGGAUACGGCCCAGACUCCUACGGGAGGCAGCAGUCGGGAAUAUUGCGCAAUGGAGGAAACUCUGACGCAGUGACGCCGCGUAUAGGAAGAAGGUUUUCGGAUUGUAAACUAUUGUCGUUAGGGAAGAUACAAGACAGUACCUAAGGAGGGAGCUCCGGCUAACUACGUGCCAGCAGCCGCGGUAAUACGUAGGGAGCAAGCGUUAUCCGGAUUUAUUGGGUGUAAAGGGUGCGUAGACGGGACAACAAGUUAGUUGUGAAAUGCCUCGGCUUAACUGAGGAACUGCAACUAAAACUAUUGUUCUUGAGUGUUGGAGAGGAAAGUGGAAUUCCUAGUGUAGCGGUGAAAUGCGUAGGUAUUAGGAGGAACACCGGUGGCGAAGGCGACUUUCUGGACAAUAACUGACGUUGAGGCACGAAAGUGUGGGGAGCAAACAGGAUUAGAUACCCUGGUAGUCCACACCGUAAACGAUGGAUACUAGGUGUAGGGAAUGAUUUCAUUUUCUGUGCCGUCGCAAACGCAAUAAGUAUCCCACCUGGGGAGUACGGCCGCAAGGUUGCAACUCAAAGGAAUUGACGG
rnacentral:rRNA from 1 species